UACGUAGGGUCCAAGCGUUGUCCGGAAUUAUUGGGCGUAAAGAGCUCGUAGGCGGUGUGUCGCGUCGGAUGUGAAAGCCCGGGGCUUAACCCCGGGUCUGCAUUCGGUACGGGCAUGCUGGAGUUCGGUAGGGGAGACUGGAAUUCCUGGUGUAGCGGUGAAAUGCGCAGAUAUCAGGAGGAACACCGAUGGCGAAGGCAGCUCGCUGGGACGGUACUGACGCUGAGGUGCGAAAGCGUGGGGAGCAAACAGG
rnacentral:rRNA from 1 species